rnacentral:misc_RNA from 1 species
AAUUUUUCUCUUUAAAACUUUGCACUUCAGCUCUGAUUUUUUUCAAAUGGUUGCUAUGAUCAAAUUAUCACUAAAAUUCUUCAAAUUUUAAUUUACAAAAUAAAUAAAUUCUAUAAAUUAGACUAAAAAGUAUAAAAUGGUAAAAUUAACUAAAUAAAGGCUAAUAUUUACUAUAAAAGCUAUAAACAAAGAUAAAUUAAUUGUAAAAUUAUACCUAAACAAUGAUAU